rnacentral:lncRNA from 1 species
AUCAACUUGCAUAAAACUUUCAUAAAACAUAAAAGAAGCAUAGAUCGAAGCUUACCUCUUGAAGAUCGAGAGGAAGAACGACCCUAGCUUGGAAAAAUGGAGGGAUUUAGCUCCAAGACUUCCAAGCUCCAAACUUGCUUAAAAACACUCAAAAACUUUUGUGGAACCUUAAAACUCAAAGAAAAUGGUGGGGAUUGAAGGAAAAACACAAUAUUUGGGAGAGGGAGGUAGGAAGCUUGCUGUGGCUGAAAAUGGGAGAAAACUCUCCCAUUUCGGCUAAGUGCCCCUUUUAUAGGUGGCUGGCCAGGCCACGUUCGGGGGCCGAAAGUGCCUCCGCAUGCAUGCAAGGUUCGGCGGCCGAACUUGGAGUUCGGCGGCCGAACCUGCAUUUCCCUCGCUCAAAAUUUUCGGGCGCCUA